UACGUAGGGGGCAAGCGUUGUCCGGAUUUAUUGGGCGUAAAGAGCGUGUAGGCGGCCAUACAGGUCAGCUGUGAAAACUCGAGGCUCAACCUCGAGACGUCGGUUGAAACCGUAUGGCUAGAGUCCGGAAGAGGAGAGUGGAAUUCCCGGUGUAGCGGUGAAAUGCGCAGAUAUCGGGAAGAACACCCGUGGCGAAGGCGGCUCUCUGGGCCGGUACUGACGCUGAGACGCGAAAGCGUGGGGAGCGAACAGG
rnacentral:rRNA from 1 species